GGUGUAGCGGUGAAAUGCGCAGAUAUCAGGAGGAACACCGAUGCGAAGGCAGGUUACUGGGCAGUUACUGACGCUGAGGAGCGAAAGCAUGGGGAGCGAACAGGAUUAGAUACCCUGGUAGUCCAUGCUGUAAACGGUGGGCGCUAGGUGUGGGCUGUGUGUUUGCAGUCUGUGCCGUAGCUAACGCAUUAAGCGCCCCGCCUGAGGAGUACGGCCGCAAGGCUAAAACUCAAAGGAAUUGACGGGGGCCCGCACAAGCGGCGGAGCAUGUGGAUUAAUUCGAUGCAACGCGAAGAACCUUACCUGGGUUUGACAUGCACCAGAUCGGCGUAGAGAUACGUCUUCCCCUGUGGUUGGUGCACAGGUGGUGCAUGGUUGUCGUCAGCUCGUGUCGUGAGAUGUUGGGUUAAGUCCCGCAACGAGCGCAACCCUUGUCUUAUGUUGCCAGCACAUUUUUGGUGGGGACUCAUGAGAAACUGCCGGGGUCAACUCGGAGGAAGGUGGGGAUGACGUCAAAUCAUCAUGCCCUUUAUACCCAGGGCUUCACACAUGCUACAAUGGUCGGUACAACGGGUUGCGACACUGUGAAGUGAAGCUAAUCUCUUAAAGCCGGCCUCAGUUCGGAUUGGGGUCUGCAACUCGACCCCAUGAAGUCGGAGUCGCUAGUAAUCGCAGAUCAGCAACGCUGCGGUGAAUACGUUCCCGGGCCUUGUACACACCGCCCGUCACGUCAUGAAAGUUGGUAACACCCGAAGCCCAUG
rnacentral:rRNA from 1 species